rnacentral:rRNA from 1 species
GUACACGCUGUGACUAGCAUAUCAAUAAGCGGAGGAAAAGAAACUAACAAGGAUUCCCCUAGUAACGGCGAGUGAAGCGGGAAGAGCUCAAAUUUGAAAUCUUAAAGGGUUUCCCUUUACGAAUUGUAGUUUAAAGAAGUGUUUUCUGUUGAGGUUUUGGUAAAAGUUCUUUGGAAUAGGACAUCAUAGAGGGUGAGAAUCCCGUAUUUGACCUUUACUUUCAACUUUGUGAUACACUUUCAAAGAGUCGGAUUGUUUGGGAAUGCAGUCCAAAAUGGGUGGUAAAUUUCAUCUAAAGCUAAAUAUUGGCGAGAGACCGAUAGCGAACAAGUACCGUGAGGGAAAGAUGAAAAGAACUUUGAAAAGAGAGUUAAACAGUACGUGAAAUUGUCAAAAGGGAAGCAGUUUGACACCAGUGUUGUUUUUCUGAAAAUCAAUUAAAGAACUGUUUAUGCUAAGUUGUUUAGACUUUAUCAGCUAACUGUUUAGUUUUGAGCUUUUCUUUAAUGCACUUUUCAGUUAACAAGUCAACAUCAAUUUCUUUUGCUGUAAAAAAGCUUGAGGAAGGUGGCUUGAGAUUCGUCUUAAGUGUUUAUAGCCUCUUGCCUAUGCAGUCGGAGAGAUUGAGGUCUGCAGCGUAGAUCCUUCGGGGCUAAAUGCAUUUGUGCUAAGUUAUAGCAUUUCAUAGACAACUUGUUGACUAUGAUUUGUCUUGUAGCUUACUCGCUUAUGUUAUUUUACCUACGCUUAGGAUGUUGACGCGCGUGUGUGCGU